UACGUAGGGUGCGAGCGUUAAUCGGAAUUACUGGGAGUAAAGCGUGCGCAGGCGGUUAUUUAAGUCAGGUGUGAAAGCCCUGGGCUUAACCUAGGAAUUGCGCUUGAGACUGGAUAGCUUGGAGUGCGGCAGAGGGAGGUGGAAUUCCACGUGUAGCAGUGAAAUGCGUAGAGAUGUGGAGGAACACCGAUGGCGAAGGCAGCCUCCUGGGCCAGCACUGACGCUCAUGCACGAAAGCGUGGGGAGCAAACAGG
rnacentral:rRNA from 1 species